UGGGGCGUAGCCAAGCGGUAAGGCAGCGGUUUUUGGUACCGCCAUUCGCAGGUUCGAAUCCUGCCGCCCCAGCCA
rnacentral:tRNA from 1 species